rnacentral:lncRNA from 1 species
UGAGAGGAGGUUUCAGGACGUUUACCCAGCCCUUUAGUGGGGAUCUGUCUGGGACUGUGCAGUCUGAAUCUGCAACUGUAAAAGGCAUGGUCCCUGGAAACAACCCUGGUGCUGUCCAGCAGCGUGUUGAACAGGAAGUUGUGUGUGUGAAUACAAGGUUCCAUAAAAUUCCUGAUGGAGAUCGUGGAGUGAAAAGACAUUAUCACAGAAUUCCAACAAGGCUUGAAGGCAGAAUUAUCUUUAGAA